rnacentral:rRNA from 1 species
GCAGUAGCCACGGGAAUACGAAGGGGGCAAGCGUUGUUCGGAUUUACUGGGCGUAAAGCGUACGUAGGCGGAUAUUUAAGUCAGGGGUGAAAUCCCGAGGCUCAACCUCGGAACUGCCUUUGAUACUGGGUAUCUUGAGUCCGGGAGAGGUGAGUGGAACUCCUAGUGUAGAGGUGAAAUUCGUAGAUAUUAGGAAGAACACCAGUGGCGAAGGCGGCUCACUGGCCCGGAACUGACGCUGAGGUACGAAAGCGUGGGGAGCAAACAGGAUUAGAUACCCCUGUAGUCCCUGUCUCUUAUU